GACAGAGGAUGCAAGCGUUAUCCGGAAUGAUUGGGCGUAAAGCGUCUGUAGGUGGCUUUUCAAGUCCGCCGUCAAAUCCCAGGGCUCAACCCUGGACAGGCGGUGGAAACUACCAAGCUGGAGUACGGUAGGGGCAGGGAAGGUCGAUUCGGUGGAGCGGUGAAAUGCAUUGAGAUCGGAAAGAACACCAACGGCGAAAGCACUCUGCUGGGCCGACACUGACACUGAGAGACGAAAGCUAGGGGAGCAAAUGGG
rnacentral:rRNA from 1 species